rnacentral:lncRNA from 1 species
UUCCAAACUUCGUUAGAGAAGAAUACUUAAACUCAUACUCAUCUAUUGGAUCUACCAAUUAACUAUUUUUUUCUACCUUUUUCUUUUGAAACGCUUCAAUGUUCUCCAAAAAUCCAGAGUAAGAAAAAGGAUUUGAAGCAGCAUGAUUUGGCAUGAUGGAAAAGGACACGAUGAAAGCAUUUGAGAAACAGUGGAAGGUAAUGAAAACAUAUCAUUAGAGUUGUGUAGAGAAUGUGCAGACCUGUAAUAUUCUACCUUUGUGCAGGACAUGGUUAGUACGAACCACCCAUUCCCUUCUCCAAACACACAUUCUUUACCUUUUCAAUCAUAGAUAGGGUUCCAAAGAUUAGAACCAGAAACACCAUCAUCGACACGCUUCAAACUUAUCAAUUUACCAAAGUGCUUAUGUACCUCUCAGUUUAAAACAAAAUUAUUAAUUAAGCACAAGUGAUUUUUUUAAGGUUGUGUGGUUAUGCUAUGAGAAAGGUUUGUGCUUUUAUUAUGGAGAAGCACUAAAU